GCAGUGGUGGCUCAACGGUUAAGGCUCUGGAUUACUAAUCAGAAUGUUGGGGGUUCGAGCCCUAGCACUGCU